ACUUUAUGGUGUGGGCAUUCAUGCAAAAAGUCCCUAAAGUGCUCCCAUGUCUCGAAAAAUUGCUCAUAAUCUAUUUGUGAGAAACUGUUGAUUGCCUUCCUAAGCU